GCAAGUUAAGAUACUGUUUCUUAAUUUUUAACUUAAAAAAUUAAGAACCGGUUCUUAAAUAAGGACUUUAAGAACCGGUUCUUAGCUUUUUUAGUUAAAAGUUAAAAAACAGUUUCUUAACUUCC
rfam:Brassica oleracea var. oleracea cultivar TO1000 chromosome C3, whole genome shotgun sequence